UAUGCGCCCCGGCUCUGUCUUGCUAAUUAGACUUAAGAGCCCCUCCAGCCUCAGUGCUUGGUCGGCGGAGACACCUACUGAGGGGAGGCGCUCCUCCUCCCCGCAAAGUCAAACCACCCGGUCCUGCCUUCGCUUUCCAGGCUCGAUGUGGGCGUAUUUAUAUGUAUAUAUAUAUAUUUUUUUUCCCCCCGCUCGGCCACAGCAGCAUCAGUUGGGGUUCCCGAAGGUCAGAAAAUGGCUAUUGAUUAAUCUAUUAGAAUAGUUGCCGAGAGAAAUAAAAAAGACGUAAAAUAACAGGGAACCUAUAAAUAAAGAAGCCCUAACUAGCUGCUCGGAGUUGUUAAACGACUUAGCAUGUGAAAAAGUCGGAAAUGAGGCGCUGGGGAAGGAGCCGGGAUUGUCAGCGGCCUGGGUAAGUCGAGUGGGGCCGGGAAGAGGCUUCGGGCCUCUAGGUUAGACGCCGCGCCCAGGUUGCGAGGGCAGACAACGCGGGGAGCGGGUGGUGUGACUUCGCAGGCGCCCAGGCCCAGCCUCCUGGGAGCGGGGCCGGCCCCGAGCUUGCCAGCGGGCUAGGCUCUUACUGCUGCUAACUAACGUGGAUUCUUUUUCCUCAGGGCAUAGACAAAUCUCCAAGAUUUAACUUCCUCAGAAACCGGCAACAGAGGAGGUGGAGGAGGAUGCGGCCAGUGAGCACCGAGUUUCUUUGGCAAGGAAAGUCAGUGAUGCUGCACCGCUUUGUGGCCCGCAGGCUCCGAACCGUUUACAAUACCACCUAGACAGCUUCCAGCGAAACCGACCGGAGCGGCGAGCUGGCUGCCCACCGAUCCCCCCGGCAGCGUUGGUCCCGGCUGCAACUGUCCCAGUAAACCAAUAAUUACAAAAGGAAGGUCGGAAGGACACGAAAAAGAAAGCGAAAUUCGCAAAUUCACAAAUUCCUUUUGCUCAGCUUCGGUUGUAGAGCCCCAGAGGCAGGCGCGGGCCGCAGCAGGAGCCCUACCGCAGCCUAGGAGGCUGGGCCCGCGUGGACGCGUGCGCGCGCGUGUGUGUGUGUGCGUGCGGGAGGGUGACGGCUCCAGGGGCUGCCCUCCGCAGUGUUCUUGAAGUAUCCUCCAAAUGAGCCUAAUUUCGAUUUCUUUGCCCGUCAGGGCUGGCUCUCAGGACUCCCUCGGCGCCGCUGUUUCUGCCUCUCAGCCCCCCUCGGCCAAGACCUGGCCCAAUCCGUCCACUCCCCGGUGUCUCUGGAACCUCCCUGGGGGAAGGGGUGGGAGGUGAACAGCUCCCAGCCGCCAGUUCCAUUUGUUGCGCUUUUAUUCUUCGACACAAUAAAAGUCAAAUUAA